rnacentral:lncRNA from 1 species
GGACAGUGGCGCCUGGAGGGACCGUGUGCGUGUGUCUGCCUGACUUCCAUUCUUUGCAACCUUCUCUCACACGCAUGCACGUCGCAUUCGCGUCUUCUGUGUCGCCGUGCAGUCGCAUUCUAAUGCAUUACCAUCAACGUGAAAUGCGACGUCCGGUUCGUGGGUCCAGUUCGCAGCGGCGGUUUAAAUGCUGGCGAACCAGGGUGGCAUCCUGCCAUGGGCGCAGCAGGCUACCAAACGUUUAUUAAGAUUCUGUAAAUUAUUAUUUUUGUGCACGAAGUGCAGAUCUGCUGCCUCCGGCGUUGGCGGGUGGAUGGGGGCACAAGGACGGUCCCCCCGCCGCCGCCUGUCUGGGGGGGGCAUGGGAACUGCAGUUUUUUGCCAGCGUGUGCCAUUUCGGUUCCCGGCUCCUUGAUUUUCACUCAAAAUAAGCUCCUUUAUGUAAGAGCUUUGAUCGCUUAAGAAAAUGUAAACGCUUUUCUGACUCUUCAUACGGACUCACUGGACAGACUUUUAUUUUGACAUAUGAAGUGGUCGCCACCGGAAAUGCAGCGACGACAGGUUAGAGGUGUUGAGUUGCGGUGAGUUUUCGAGCAUGACGACACGCACACAGCCGUUCAGCGUUUUCGGUACAGACUGCCGAAGGUUCUAGUGUUUGGCGCCGUAGUCUGCGGCUUCACAUGUACCAGGUAACUAACAUGUAAACUGAAGUGAAGUGGAAAACUAGCAGAACAGGUACCAGAGCUUUGAGGUUACUUAAAUGACGUAACAUCGCUUGGAUAUGAGCAUCUCGCCAGCUCUGCUUUACCUCACAUGGGUUCAUGAGCAGAGGUGACAUGGCCAUGACUGUUUCACGCCUGACUGUUCGCCUUGCCGGUGGGAAUAGUCACAGACGUAGUUUCCGCUUCCAUCCUGGUCCCUCCUAUAAGGCAGUGGUUUUUGACAUGUAUGGGGUGUUGAUCCCACCGCCCGUGCCUGCCGAUACAGAGUGGGAAGGAAGGAAUGGUGUUCCACCAUGCCAUGUCGAGGAGGUUUAUGAGAGCUUAUGUUUGUGGAGACUUUCAGCCACGAGUGCACCGCAGUAGCUGGCUUUCCAAUCAAGGUGGAUUUCAGCUCAUUUCUCCAGGCCCUGACCUGGGGUCCUUUCACUCAACUCCACCCUGUCAUGGAGGAAGCUAACCAGUGCGUCCGUGCUGAGGGCGUGAAAGCAGCUCUUCUCACAAACAACUUCCUGUUGCCAGGUGGAGCCUCUUUCCUGCCUGUGAACCGCUCACACUUUCAUGUGGUGGAUAAAUGAGAGAUUUCUACUUUUUCCAAAUGUACACAG